rnacentral:rRNA from 1 species
AACAAACGCUGGCGGCGUGCCUAAUACAUGCAAGUCGAACGGGGAAAGCCUUCGGGCGAGUACUAGUGGCGCACGGGUGAGUAACACGUGGGUAAUCUUCCCCAGAGUAUGGGAUAACCUUCCGAAAGGAAAGCUAAUACCACAUAAGACCACAGGAUCUGCGGAUCCAGAGGUCAAAGGUUUUUCGCUCUGGGAUGAGC